rnacentral:rRNA from 1 species
UACGUAGGGUGCAAGCGUUGUCCGGAAUUAUUGGGCGUAAAGAGCUCGUAGGCGGUCUGUCGCGUCUGCUGUGAAAACUCGGGGCUUAACCCCGGGCCUGCAGUGGGUACGGGCAGACUAGGGUGCGGUAGGGGAGACUGGAAUUCCUGGUGUAGCGGUGAAAUGCGCAGAUAUCAGGAGGAACACCGGUGGCGAAGGCGGGUCUCUGGGCCGUAACUGACGCUGAGGAACGAAAGCUAGGGGAGCAAACAGG